AGAGCGAACGCUGGCGGCAGGCCUAAAACAUGCAAGUCGAACGCCGUAGCAAUACGGAGUGGCGGACGGGUGAGUAACACGUGGGAACAUACCCUUUGGUUCGGAACAACACAGGGAAACUUGUGCUAAUACCGGAUAAGCCCUUACGGGGAAAGAUUUAUCGCCAAAGGAUUGGCCCGCGUCUGAUUAGCUAGUUGGUGGGGUAACGCCCACAAGGCUACGAUCAGUAGCUGGUCUGAGAGGAUGAUCAGCCACACUGGGACUGAGACACGGCCCAGACUCCUACGGGAGGCAGCAGUUAGGAAUCUUGGACAAUGGGCGCAAGCCUGAUCCAGCCAUGCCGCGUGAGUGAUGAAGGCCUUAGGGUGUAAAGCUCUUUCAGCGGGAAGAUAAGUGACGGUACCCGCAGAAGAACGCCCCGGCUAACGUUCGUGCCAGCAGCCGC
rnacentral:rRNA from 1 species